UUUGAACACAGGAAAGCUCACCCGGCCCAGACAUGGAAAGGAUUGAGAGAUUGAUAGCUCUUUCUUGAUUCUGUGGAUGGUGGUGCAUGGCUGUUCUUAACUGUUGGAGUGAUUUGUCUGGUUAAUUCCGAUAACAAGCGAGACUCUGGCAUGCUAACUAGUUAUGCGACCCCCAAGCAAUGUGGG